UACGGGGGGGGCAAGCGUUGUUCGGAAUUACUGGGCGUAAAGGGCUCGUAGGCGGCCAACUAAGUCCGACGUGAAAUCCCAAGGCUUAACCUUGGAACUGCGUCGGAUACUGGAUGGCUUGAAUUCGGGAGAGGGAUGCAGAAUUCCAGGUGUAGCGGUGAAAUGCGUAGAUAUCUGGAGGAAUACCGGUGGCGAAGGCGGCAUCCUGGACCGAUAUUGACACUGAUGAGCGAAAGCUAGGGGAGCAAACGGG
rnacentral:rRNA from 1 species